rnacentral:rRNA from 1 species
UACGUAGGGGGCAAGCGUUGUCCGGAUUUACUGGGCGUAAAGAGCGUGUAGGCGGCCAAGCAGGUCCGUUGUGAAAACUGGAGGCUUAACCUCCAGACGUCGACGGAAACCGCGUGGCUAGAGUCCGGAAGAGGAGAGUGGAAUUCCUGGUGUAGCGGUGAAAUGCGCAGAUAUCAGGAAGAACACCAUGGCGAAGGCAGCUCUCUGGGACGGUACUGACGCUGAGACGCGAAAGCGUGGGGAGCGAACAGG